CUCUAUUGGCCUUUUACAUUAUGCAAAACACAGAUUGGCACUAUGCUACACACAUUUUGGAAUUGUCCGGCCCUGGGAGAAUACUGGGACCGGGUGGGGAAAUUUAUCUCUGAUACCACACUCUAUAGAAUACCAAAUAAGCCAACCAGCUAUUUUCUGCAUAUCAUCCAUGGGCUGAUACACCACCCCAACCACACAGUAUUGCUCAUCGUUCUGACGGUAGCUAAGAUAAACUUGGCGUUCCACUGGAAGAGCACGACGAUUCCCUCAUUAGAUACUCUCAUACAGAGGAUGAAUACGAUAAGUAUUUACGAGAGAAUGGUUAGCAAAACACAGGGUUGUGUAAGUAGGUAUGUGAGAGAUUGGGAAUGCUGGACCACAAAUAUUGGAAAGGCACAGGACAGCAACGCUAACAAUGAGGAAACUGAUAGGAAUAAAUAGCUUAUAGGGCACCACUUUUGUGUGACUUGAAUGUCCGACCAAGCUCUAGGGUUCUAAGGCCAAGGUAUGUGUCACAAGAACUGUUGCA